GUUGGGAAUGGUUUAAAUUUAAAUUUUGAAUACAUUAUAGAUAAGUGUGUAUAAUUUGUGUAACUGUACUACCUUACACUAAAUACUAAAAGUGAUUGGAAAUUAAUUGGCAAGUAAACUACAAAUAAUAUGAUUCAAAUAUUACGGUAAUGCAUACAUAUUAUUAAAUACCUAUAAUUUAAUACUCAAUUAGGUAUACAGACUAUUAGAAUUUGGAUAAAAUAGUAUAAUAUAUUAUAUACAAAAUAUUAUGCAUUACCCUAACCUUAUACAAUAAAUUAUUAUGGUGACAUUAGUCAUUUUUUUUAUGGGGGGGUAGGUUGAGAGUUUUAUUUAAAUACAUUUUAAUUUUUUAUAUAUUAAUUAAGCAUUUAUAUGAAAUAAGGAUAAUAUUUUAUUUUAUUAGAUAUAAAAUAGAACUUUGUUUAAAAG